CCAAUACUUCCUCCAUUAACAAAAGAUGUCUCAAGUUUGUCAAAAUUUGGAUGUAUUUAGACAUUUCUUAGUGUAUGAAUGCAUUUAAAUUUAGUCAAAGUUGAGACAUUCUUUGUUGGACGGAGAGAGUAGAAG
rnacentral:pre_miRNA from 1 species